rnacentral:rRNA from 1 species
AACUUUNAUGCAGAAUUGUGAUUAGGUNAACCAGUGCUGUCUUCCGGACAGCUGUUACCCACCUUAAACUAGUGGGUUAGAAAGGAGAGGGCAAGGAUGGUGCC